AACAUGAAUGCUGACAACAGGUAUCUCAGCUCUCGCCACAAUGAAGAAUGUAGUGAAAUGGGAUACUUAGUGUGAAUUGUAGAAUCUUGUGAAUCAUCGAGUCUUUGAACACAAGUUGUGCCUGAGGCUUUGGCUGAGGGCACAUAUGGUUGGGUGUUGCAC
rnacentral:rRNA from 1 species